GACGAACGCUGGCGGCGUGCUUAACACAUGCAAGUCGAAGGAAGUGGGAACGGGUGAGUAACACGUGAGUAACCUUCCUUUUCUUUGGGAUAAGCAUUCGAAAGGGUGUUUAAACCUUAUUGGUGGGCUCGCGGUCUAUCAGCUUGUUGGUGGGGUGAUGGCUUACCAAGGCUUUGACGGGUAGCCGGCCUGAGAGGGUGGUCGGCCACAUUGGGACUGAGACACGGCCCAGACGCCUACGGGAGGCAGCAGUGGGGAAUCUUCCGCAAUGGACGAAAGUCUGACGGAGCAACGCCGCGUGAGUGAUGACGGCCUUCGGGUUGUAAAGCUCUGUUAAUCGGGACGCGGUACCGGAAUAGAAAGCCACGGCUAACUACGUGCCAGCAGCCGCGGUAAUAC
rnacentral:rRNA from 1 species